rnacentral:tRNA from 1 species
GCGGAAGUAGCUCAGUUGAUAGAGCAUUAGCCUUCCAAGCUGAGGGUCGCGGGUUUGAAUCCCGUCUUCCGCUC